GGGUAGUGAUUGUCACGAGGGUGAUUUAUGUCACUCGAAUUCUGCCCGAGGUUCACCACCGUGCGACAGUCGAGCCCAGCCUUGACUUCAGCCUUUCCAACACUUAGAAUUAUUUUAGGACGUUUGGGACUUAGAAUAAAAUUUAGGCAGCAAGAAAAGUAAAGGCACGCACGAAUUUACAGGAAUCUCUUCCCAACUCGUAUUAAUAUGUGAAUACAAGAACACAAUAAAGCCAACCAUAUGGCCAAGAACAAAGAACACCCUAGUUCCCUGCCCCGAAAUGAUUUCCUACCCUUAGGAAUACACUUAGACGUUUUGGCUUUAAUAAAUUGCCACAAGACUAAGUUCUGCCCCUUUGGGACAGCCUUAUGCACAUAUUUAUAGUGCAGGCUACCCAAUUACACUUGGCAGCAUUUAAAGUAAUCAGUUGACAAGCCCCAACUGAUGGGCAAACAUGGAGAACAUGCUAAAAAACGUGUAUCACUAAGCCACACAAUCAGCCAUGAUCUAAAAACGUGCCUUCACUUAGCCCCAUGAUCAGUCAUGUUUGGAUGAGGCAGUUGUAACCGCUCAAAUGCCCUAUCAUGUGCACUGCAUGUGCUUGUUUUGGCCAGCUGCUGCACGCCCAAGGCUGACAUUGCGCCCAUCCUUGCGCUUAGACACUGCUCCGCCCCAAUGUCAUGACUACAUCUUGCCGCCCAUUGACUUAGCCGCACACGUUCGUUGCCUCAGCUGCCCGCUUAUGUCAAGUCACCGCCCCCAACUUGAUCAAAUCUGCCCAUGCCCUUGUCAUUGCUUGCCUUGCCAUGUCUUUGCCCCUGCUUUGACAUGGUUUUGCCUUGCCAUUGUCAUGCCAUCCUGUAGGUCCAUGUGAAAUGCGCCUUGCCUCCGUCAAGGUGCGUUUGUCAACUCCGCACAGUCCGUCAUACCGAGCUGCCCGCCAUGAUGUUGCCCCAAUUUUCAGGUUGUGUGCCAAGGCCAUCAUGAAAAUCCUUGUCACAACCCACAUGUGCCGAGGAACUUUGUCAAGGGGCUAACAAUGAUUAUAAUUGAGCUAGUGAAUGCAUGCUUCUUAAAGUGGAAAAAAGUUGCUUCACAAUAUUUGCUUUGCUAAUAAUUAGAAUGUAUUGGAGGCAAUUUCUAUUAUUCCAUAUAGAUGGUAAUGCCAGAGUAGUUUGACAUGGCUGUUUUCCUGUGAUCACAAGAUUAGUUCGAGUAAAUAAAUACAGUGUUUCCUAAUAAUUAUCCAAUUUAUCGAAGUCUCUUUUUGCU
rnacentral:lncRNA from 1 species